rnacentral:rRNA from 1 species
CUAUCAUUUGUUUUUUAAUUAAAAACUAGAAUGAAAGGUUAUACAUUCAAAUUUCUUUAUUAAUUUUUAAUAAAUAAUUUAUAUUAAAUAUAAAAAUAUAUUUAUAAAAAAAAAAGACGACAAGACCCUAUUAAAUUUUACUUAUAGUUUAGCUGGGGAAGCUUUUCAAUUAAAAUUUUUUAAAUUAAAUAAAUAAAAAUCUAAUAAAAUUAAAAUUUUAAUAAAUUACUAUAGGGAUAACAGCAUUAUAUUUUUUUAAAGUUCAUAUUAAAAAAAAUGAUUGUGACCUCGAUGUUGAAUUAUAUUUUCUAUAUUUAAUGCAAUAAUUAUAAAAGUAGAUCUGUUCGAUCUUUAAAAUAUUACAUGAUUUGAGUUCAAACCGGUGUAAACCAGGUUGGUUUUUAUCUUUUUAUAUAUUUUUCUAGUACGAAAGGACAAAAAAAUUUUUAUUUUAAUAAAUUAGCAAAUAAAUGCAUUAGAUUUAGAAUCUAAUUAUAUUUAAUAAUUUUUUUUAUUAAUCCUUUAUUAUCUAUUAUUAUACUUUUAAUUUCAGUAGCAUUUUAUACAAUUUUAGAACGAAAAAUUUUAAGAUAUAUUCAAAUUCGAAAAGGACCAAAUAAAGUAGGAUUUUUAGGAAUUUUACAACCUUUUAGUGAUGCUAUUAAAUUAUUUAAUAAAAAUUUAAUUUCAUCUGAAAGAAUAAAUUUUAUAUUAUCAUAUUCAAUACCAGCAUUAUCUUUAAUUUUAAGAAUAAUAAUUGUAUUUAUAUUACCAAUAUAUUUUUAUUCUUCAUUUGAUAAUAAAAAUAAUAUUUUAAUAUUCUUUGUAAUUUCAAGAUUAUCAGUAUAUUCUAUUAUAUCAUG